GGCCACAUAUCUGCGCUGCGGUCGCGUUUGUCUUCCUGUCCCGAAUGGCCACAUGAGGGCGAAGGCCAGGCGGCGGAGAAUCUGAACAUAUAUUCUUCUCCAAUCUAUCUAGCUCACUCAUCACUACCUUCUCCUCCACUACUCAUCCAUCGGAGCCGAUUUGAGAGGGAAUGCCUUGUGGUAGCGACGGCUGAAAGACUGGUUGGCUAGAUCCACCAUAGGGCAUCCAAGUCAGUGCCUUGGUAGAUCCACCGCAGGAUGUCUAGAUCAGGAGCAGUGUUAGCCAUCGGUUAGUUGGCUCUGGUAUGGGAGGUGGUAUUUGUAGGAAAUGGGGCAGUGGGGAUGGCAGGUGUUGGGGCAGUGCGGAUAGCAGGUGCAGCAACAUCAAGCAUGGCUGAGAGCGAAGGAUAUCAACGGUAGAGGAAGCAAGCAGGGAUCGACUCAUAUACAUGUACUGAAGGUGCAAUGUUAGUUUCUUCUGUUGAAAAUAUGAUGACAAAACUGUAUAGAUGCAUAUGUUAUUUCCUAGCUGCAAGAUCAUGAUUAGAUGAUGUCAUGAUUGUGUUCUUUUGUGGGUGCGUGAUAUACCUUCUUAUGCCAAAGAUAAUUCGCAAGGUGCCGCAGACUUCUUCUGCUCCGUCCGCCGGAAUCGACUUCUUCUGCUCCGUCGUUGGAAUCGACUUCUUCCGGAAUCGACUAAUGUCGCAUGCUGGCGGGGUGUAUAUAUAUGCAUGCAAGCCUUACGAAUAUUGUCUCAUGUAUAUGGAACUAAUCCUUGUUGCAAUUAAUAAUCUUUCCUAGUGAUCUAAAUUUUGCUUUUUGAGAUUUGGAAUGUUUUGCUUUGAGAGAUUUGGAAUAUUGCCUCUCACACACAAAUAUGGAACUAAUCUAUGUUCGUUCACGACAA